AAUAAUAAUGUCUAUUUUAUUCUGCUGUCCUUCCUUCCCCCCUUCCCCUCCCCUCCAGCGGGGAAGGAAGGACAGCAGAAUAAAAUAGA
rnacentral:miRNA from 1 species